rnacentral:rRNA from 1 species
AUUGAACGCUGGCGGCAGGCCUAACACAUGCAAGUCGAACGGUAACAGGGAUCAGCUUGCUGAUUCGCUGACGAGUGGCGGACGGGUGAGUAAUGUCUGGGAAACUGCCUGAUGGAGGGGGAUAACUACUGGAAACGGUAGCUAAUACCGCAUAACGUCGCAAGAUCAAAGAGGGGGACCUUCGGGCCUCUUGCCAUCGGAUGUGCCCAGAUGGAUUAGCUAGUAGGUGGGGUAACGGCUCACCUAGGCGACGAUCCCUAGCUGGUCUGAGAGGAUGACCAGCCACACUGGAACUGAGACACGGUCCAGACUCCUACGGGAGGCAGCAGUGGGGAAUAUUGCACAAUGGGCGCAAGCCUGAUGCAGCCAUGCCGCGUGUAUGAAGAAGGCCUUCGGGUUGUAAAGUACUUUCAGCGGGGAGGAAGGGAGUAAAGUUAAUACCUUUGCUCAUUGACGUUACCCGCAGAAGAAGCACCGGCUAACUCCGUG